rnacentral:sRNA from 1 species
UCACCUAUCGCGCCGAGCUCCAUCCAGUAGGCGAGGGAACACCGGAAGUGGAUGGAGGCGGGGGACCCACCGGUCCACCGUGAUCGGAUCGGGGUCGUUCGCGACCCCUUGGGGUGAAGCCGGAGUCGUCUCCCAUGCGGAGCACAACGCCGGCCGGGUGGCCUCUCCAACCCGAACCCGACAGCUGACCUCGCAGGCGCGUUACGAGAGAGGAA